AGCAUCGUGGAUGAAUGGUAAAGCACUUGGCUUCUGAACCAGGGGUCCCAGGUUCAAAUCCUGGUGAAGAUU
rnacentral:tRNA from 1 species